UGCAGAUGAGUGACUGAAGCUGGGAGAGGCUGGUUUGCUAAGACCAUUGAUUGAGUCAAUUCCUGGCAGAAGUAAGAUAUGACCUUGGUACUUCCUGAUUUACAGCCACUCUUAGCGGUUAAAUUUCCCCUCUUUGGUUUAAGAAAUCUCUGGCUGAGAUCUUAGAGUAAACCCAGAGCUCCAACAGAGGAAUCAUCUAGUUACCAAAAAGAAUAUGAAAAACUGGUGAUAUUUGGAGGCACACAAAGAUUGCAAUUGUAGCAAUACAUCCUGACCUCAGCUCGAAGGGACAAGACGUGGAGAGAAAGUAGCAACCAUAAGCUUCGUCGCCUCUCUGUGCUACUUCCAUGAGAGGGACUCGCUGAAGAUGAUGCCCAAAUAUCUAAAUGAACGUACUUGCUCUGUGACCUGUUGAUCUAAAGUCCAUUUGUACCUUGGACUGCGUUUAGCAAAGACCAUAGUUUUAGUCUUAAGAGUAAUUUAUUGCUAGAUGUCCAAGUUUACAGCAAGUGCUAAAUGCAUCCAAAAGGUUUUUAAGGCCCAAGCGAGAAAGGGAGAUGAGCACCAAAUCAUCUGCAUACAUCAGAAUAAAGAUCUUUCUAUUCCUAAUUACUGGAGAAGAGGAAUCUGCUCGAGCUAGCCAAGACACCAAAUCGUUAACGUAAAUAUUAAAAAGCGUGGGAGCCAAAAGGCAUCCUUGUUUCACACCUCGCGUUGUUUUAAAAGCUUCUGUCAGAGCGCCGUUUAAACCAACUCUAACCCUCAUUUCUGUGUUGCUGUAUAAUUCUUGAAUCAGCUUCAGAAGUCUGCGGUCAAUGUUAGAACUUUGUAAUUUAUCCCAUAACCUCGUUCUGUUUAUAGAAUCAAAAGCUGCAGAAAGGUUGAUAAAAGCGGCAUAGAGAUGCUUUUUAUUCUUAGUAUAUUUCCUUAUAAUGAAAUUUAAAGUAAAGCAUUAUCUAUAGUACUAUAUCCUCUCCUAAAUCCUGCUUGUUCUUUGUGUAUGAUUUGAUUUCUUGCAGCCAGUCCAUUAAUUUUUGAAGCAGAUACCAAGCAUAAAGUUUUGAAGGAAUAUAUAGCAAGCUGAUUGGCCGGUAAUUUUGUGGGUCAUUCCUAUCACCUUUCUUGUAAAUUGGGAAUAUUAUACUUGUUUUCCACCCGAGGGGCAUUUGUCCAGUGCUGUUUAUCAUGGUGAAUAAUCCGGCAAAAAUAGGUAUCCACCAAUCUGUAUUUUCUUUGAAAAGCUCUGGAGGAAGCGUAUCUUCUCCUGGGGCUUUCUUUAGUUUCAAAGAUGAGAUAAGGGUCUUUACCUCACAGCUGGUAAAUGGUUGACACUUGGGUAGGUUAUCAAGAUCUUUAUGCACCUCCAUCUCUUCCCCCAUCGCUAGGCUGUCCACCAAAUAUGUUAGAGAAGUGAUUAACCCAUGAAGAGACAGGGACUGAAGCCUCCAGAGUAGACCUUAUUUCCUUUAGACCCCGAGUUACAAGAUCCCAGAAUUUAUCUUCAUUCCAUUCUGUUACCGCCUGGCCCAGUGCCUGCCACUGGGUUUUUAUAUAUACAUCUUUCUUAUUUUUAAGCAAUCUUUUGUAUUCCAACCUGCAUUUAAUUAAAUUUCCCAUUGUUUCCUCAGAUGAUUUCUUGUGGGAUUCUCUUAUUUUUUUGGCCAGUUCUUUCUUGGCCACUUUACAUUCAGCGUCAAACAAGCCAUAGCGUGUUGUCUGUGUAUUUUUAUCUAUAGGUGUUAAGAGG